UACGGAGGGUGCGAGCGUUGUCCGGAAUCAUUGGGCGUAAAGGGCGCGUAGGUGGCGGGACAAGCGUGCGGUGAAAGCCUGGGGCUCAACCCCGAGUCGGCCGUGCGAACUGCUGGGCUUGAGCACUGUAGAGGCAGGCGGAAUUCCGGGUGUAGCGGUGGAAUGCGUAGAGAUCCGGAAGAACACCGGUGGCGAAGGCGGCCUGCUGGGCAGUGGCUGACACUGAGAGACGAAAGCUAGGGGAGCAAAUGGG
rnacentral:rRNA from 1 species